rnacentral:siRNA from 1 species
CGGCCAGAUCUGACUCUGUUCU